rnacentral:rRNA from 1 species
GAUGAACGCUGACAGAAUGCUUAACACAUGCAAGUCAACUUGAAUUUGGGUUUUUAACUUAGAUUUGGGUGGCGGACGGGUGAGUAACGCGUAAAGAACUUGCCUCACAGUUAGGGACAACAUUUAGAAAUGAAUGCUAAUACCUGAUAUUAUGAUUUUAAGGCAUCUUAGAAUUAUGAAAGCUAUAAGCACUGUGAGAGAGCUUUGCGUCCCAUUAGCUAGUUGGAGAGGUAACAGCUCACCAAGGCGAUGAUGGGUAGCCGGCCUGAGAGGGUGAACGGCCACAAGGGGACUGAGACACGGCCCUUACUCCUACGGGAGGCAGCAGUGGGGAAUAUUGGACAAUGGACCGAGAGUCUGAUCCAGCAAUUCUAUGUGCACGAUGAAGUUUUUCGGAAUGUAAAGUGCUUUCAGUUGGGAAGAAAAAAAUGACGGUACCAACAGAAGAAGUGACGGCUAAAUACGUGCCAGCAGCCGCGGUAAUACGUAUGUCACGAGCGUUAUCCGGAUUUAUUGGGCGUAAAGCGCGUCUAGGUGGUUAUGUAAGUCUGAUGUGAAAAUGCAGGGCUCAACUCUGUAUUGCGUUGGAAACUGUAUAACUAGAGUACUGGAGAGGUAAGCGGAACUACAAGUGUAGAGGUGAAAUUCGUAGAUAUUUGUAGGAAUGCCGAUGGGGAAGCCAGCUUACUGGACAGAUACUGACGCUAAAGCGCGAAAGCGUGGGUAGCAAACAGG